rnacentral:lncRNA from 1 species
AGCACAAUUAGACUAGAUUAAACCCAAUAUAAUUAGGCUUAAUUAGGCUCAAUAAAAUCCUAAUCAAAUCAGGAAUUAACUAAACCUAACCCCUGAUCAAAUCAGGGACUAAACCACCUUAGCGAUUAGGUCAACAUUUUACCUAAUCGGGUCAAUCCAAACUGAAUCCAAUUCAAUUGGACUUGAUCCAAAAAUAAUUACUCAAUCAAAUUGAGUUAAUUAGUAAUUAAAUUACUAAUUAAAUCUCUCAUAAAUAUUGAGUUCAAAUCCGAUGGGCAAUCAGGCAUCAGAGACCAUCGAUAUGAAACCCUAAUCAAAGAGUUCAAAUUUCAAAUUCAAAAUUUGAAAUUCAAAAUUUUGACCCCGAUACCCAAAAUGUGUGGAACUCAUGAUUAGAGAAUCCUAAUUGUCAAUCAUAGAGUCUCAGAUAGAUAAGACUCAUAAUCAGCCAUCAGAUCAGAAAGGAACCUCUAAUGUGUGUGACCCCGCAGGUUCGAACCUAAACCGGUAGCACAGGAAUCAAUUCCUGUACUAAUCGAAGUGACCAUCUAGCAAUGGUACCCGACAAUCGGAUAGAUCGAAUAAUCACAAUCGCAACAUUCAGAACCUACGUGAAUAUGGUUACCGUAUAAUUCAUCCCUUUUGACCCCUGUGUUUAGGAUGACUCAGGGUUAAACUGUCAACCCUGAUGAUAUCAUCCGAAUCGUGCUCAACUCAAUUAGUCCUGUGACUCCUCACUAGGACUAUCCUGGCCAAGAUUUUGCUAAAUUGAAACACGACUGUACACAGCUCCUAAACUGGAGUGGUCAAUCCCAUCUUGACACACGCACCGACAAGUCAAGCACUUGACUACACCCAGCAACCUUCCGUCACUGAAUUAAAAAUUCAGGUAGUCCAGUGCAGUGAGUUGCUUGCAAGUCACCAUGGCGGUCUCAGGUCAGAGGGAUAUUUAUAUCCAUAUCCCAUCGGAGCAAAUCUUGACAGCAGAAAUAGCUCCGGAGUUGGUCACGUUCAGUGCAGAUGUACCAUUACAUCUCACCUGUAUGCCAUACCAGUGUCUCCACACUCUUUGGUUAUGAGGACAACCAACCCAUAUGGCACACAACAACCUAUGCUCGAUAAACGUUGUCAUCCUUGGUAACAACGUAUCAUUUGAUCACGAACAUGUUUAAGGACUAAGCGACAAAUCCUCCUUUGUCGAGUCUAAAUAGUCCUAAGGACUUCACCACAACACAGGAGUUCAUUAGAAGAUGAAACAUUUAUGAUGAAAAAAUACCAAAAUAACUUUUAUUUAUUUAUAAUUCAUGUACUAAUACAAAAAGGAGCACAACCGUCAACAGGCUGACGAUUGGCUUUGGGACACUAUUCCC